rnacentral:rRNA from 1 species
CCUACGGGUGACAGCAGUGAGGAAUAUUGGUCAAUGGACGAGAGUCUGAACCAGCCAAGUAGCGUGAAGGAUGACUGCCCUAUGGGUUGUAAACUUCUUUUAUAUGGGAAUAAAAUGUUCCACGUGUGGGAUUUUGUAUGUACCAUAUGAAUAAGGAUCGGCUAACUCCGUGCCAGCAGCCGCGGUAAUACGGAGGAUCCGAGCGUUAUCCGGAUUUAUUGGGUUUAAAGGGAGCGUAGGUGGAUUGUUAAGUCAGUUGUGAAAGUUUGCGGCUCAAACGUAAAAUUGCAGUUGAAACUGGCAGUCUUGAGUACAGUAGAGGUGGGCGGAAUUCGUGGUGUAGCGGUGAAAUGCUUAGAUAGCACGAAGAACUCCGAUUGCGAAGGCAGUUCACUGGACUGCAACUGACACUGAGGCUCGAAAGUGUGGGUAUCAAACAGGAUUAGAGACCCGGGUAGUC